AGCCUCAGCGGUGCCUCUGCAGGCUCAUCUGGUAAGACGGUACCAGCUUGCUCAGAACAGGGGCUGGCUAUUCAUCGUCUCAGAGCAUAGAGACCCUCUCCUUGCCACCCGGCCCUUCCUACCUGGUUGGUGACAAAUCACAAGGUGACCAUCUACCUGGGGAAGAGAGACUACAUAGACCAUGUCAGCCAAGUCCAGCCUGUGGAUGGUGUCGUGUUGGUUGAUCCUGAUCUUGUGAAGGGAAAGAAAGUGUAUGUCACUCUGACCUGCGCCUUCCGCUAUGGCCAAGAGGACAUUGACGUGAUCGGCUUGACCUUCCGCAGGGACCUGUACUUCUCCCGGGUCCAGGUGUAUCCUCCUGUGGGGGCCGCGAGCACCCCCACAAAACUACAAGAAAGCCUGCUCAAAAAGCUGGGGAACAACACGUACCCCUUUCUCCUGACGUUUCCUGACUACUUGCCCUGUUCA
rnacentral:sRNA from 1 species